AAGCAGUGGCAGGUGGUUCCGACAUCGUCAAGUAAGCGUUUUAUCGAGGAGAUUCGGCUCGACGCAAUAGAUGUCGAUACUCCUGCAUCGCGAUGGUUAACGUACGCUUCUGUCUUAUCGCUCUUACCGCGGCAAUGUUGGCCUUGCCGUGUGUAACGAAGUGGAUUAACGGGCGACAGAGGGGCCCAGGUUGGGUGACAGUGCCAGCGGCUCAGUUUGGGGAAUUGAUGAAGCUCGCCCAAAUCGCCGCGUACAGGGAGUCCCCGGGCAAGUACCUCUAUCACAUCGUCGUGAUCAAUGAAGCGCGCUCGAGGCCGGAAGGCAGGAGAUGGCACAUCCAGCUGAAAUUGAAGGUGGCGGAGUCCGUGUGCUUAACGAAGCAUGGAAGGCGCCCCACAAGACCCUGCCCACAAAGGCCCCAUGCCCCCGUCCGGCGUUGCGAAAUGGACAUCAUUCGAGGAACGUGGCGGAUGUUUGUGCACGUUUUCAUAGACUGCGAGAGACCGCACCACUAGACACUUACCCUCAAUUCAAGACAUUGUUCCGCAGACUUAGUCAAUCAUACCAAGGAGCUGACAGUGUAUGCAAACGAGAAGUGUGCAUUGGUCACUCUGCCCUCAAGCACCGAUACAGCGACCAUAGUGUAGAUCAAAUAAAGUUUUAUUGCCUGGAA